rnacentral:rRNA from 1 species
UCCGAAUGGGGAAACCCACACAUUCGUGUGUACCUUUAGGUGAAUACAUAGCCUACUGGAGCUAACCUCGGGAACUGAAACAUCUAAGUACCGAGAGGAAAAGAAAUCAUAUGAGAUUCCCUAAGUAGCGGCGAGCGAACGGGGAACAGGCCAAACCUGGAGGUUUACCUUCAGGGGUUGUAGGGCCAGAGUCAUGGGACGAUAGGAUAGGCGAAGGGUCUGGAAAGUCCACUAUAGAGCGUGAUAGUCGC